rnacentral:lncRNA from 1 species
GAAUAAAUUUUGCAUGUAUUAUAAACCAGGUGGUUACCUUCUGAACAAAAUCAGUAUGAAAAUGCUCAGCUUUAUACACUGGGGAUAAGAUAAUUUAGAUUUUGCUAAAAUGGGAAGUUUAUUUUAGGAACAACUAUGCAGGAAGUAUGGACCUGUGAUCAGGUAGCAGGCUGGGGUUUUAAAGCUAGCAGGUGACUGGGGAAGGCAGCAUCUACUUUGAGCAUUAGAGGAAAUUAAACAAAGCUCUGCCUCUGUGGGCCAUGUCACCCGGAGCUAUGGCUAGAGAAAGCCCAUAGGAGAGAGCAGAAGCAGAGAGAGCAGAGAGAAGAAAGGUUACUCUCUUCAGUCAAUAUCUCUCCUCUGGGGGCAUUUUAACUCCCUGGGGUGUGAACCAGAGGAGGGGGGACCAGCUGCUUGAAGCAAAUGCUCAGUGAGGUAAAGAAGUGCCCAAGGGAUAAAAUAUCACAAGUAGGCAAAAGGCAGGCAGAGAGAGAAAGGAGGAAGCAGGCUCCCUGCCGAGCAGAGAGCCCGACGUGGGACUUGAUCCCAGGACCCUGGAAACAUGACCAGAGCCGAAGGCAGAGGCUUUAACCCACGGAGCCACCCGGGAGCCCUUUUCCACAUCUUUAAGGGACUUGUGUGGCGGCUUCUUAAUGCUCAGUUUUAAGCUUGUCUGUGGACUACUUUUUGGGAAUUGAGGCCAUGUCUACACUAAGCAUCUAAGCAUGUGCACCCUUCCUACUCUCCAGCUUCCCAGAGAUUGGACCACUUGUUGGGGAACAGCAACAUUCUAUGUUUAAGCUAAGCUACACAGUAAAAUUAUGAUUACUUAUCCUUUUAUGUAGAUUUUUGUUUUCUUUUCCUUGGAAUUAUCUUUUUAUGUUGUUGUUUAGUUUUCUAUAUAGUUGUCACUUAUUCAGCUCCACACUCUAUCACAUGUUUAAACAGAUCCCCUAACAUUAAGGUGCCUCAGGUAACUUAUCAAUUAAAUACCCCUGAAUUAUUUCCCAGAACCUCUGGGCUCCAAUCUGGACUGAUGACCCUUUUGUGUGCCAUUUGAUAAACCCUUAUUGACUCAAACACUUGCUACACAUUGUGUUAGCCCUGGCAAAACAAAGGGAUCAGGCAGGGGUACCUGGCUGGCUCAGUCAGAUCAUGCAACUUUUUUUUUUUUNNNNNNNNNNNNNNNNNNNNNNNNNNNNNNNNNNNNNNNNNNNN